AAGAAUCUCUUAGAGCAGAGUUUCCUGAUGAAUUGGAUGUACAACCAAUGAUGGCUAUUUGCAACAAUCCCAAAUUUGGAGACUAUCAAUGUAACAAUGCCAUGAGCUUAUGGGAUAAAAUUAAAGGGAAGGGUACUCAGUUCAAGGGUCCUCAACCUGUUGGACAGGCUAUUAUGAACAAUCUUCCUCCAUAAG